ensembl:lncRNA
UAUGGCACCAGCAUUCUAACCAUUUAUUAACCUGCCAAAUGCACCUCGCUUUUUUAAGGUCCUCCCCUUUGUCCUGGAGAAGCGAUGAAAAAAUUAUCUGAGCUCCAGAGCCCCUAACCACCUCUCCCAGGGCUCUGUAGUCCUUAAUGUUCUCCAGGCUACUGCUAUCUAUAUCGCUAGCACCCACAUGGACCACUAGAAGGGGGUAACAGUCGGCAGGACUUACUACACCAGGCAGCCUCUCAGCAACAUCCCUGAUCCUAGCCCCUGGCAGGCAACACAUCUCCCUCGAGACUGGGUCAGGCCGACAGAUGGGUGCCUCUGUGCCUUUCAAAGUAGAGUCCCCUACUACCGUGACCUGCUGCUUUCUCCUGGAGGCACCAGUAGUGAUCCUCUUCACUGGUGCAUCACCAGGAUGUUCAGUAGGUGUGGUGGGUGUUUCCUCGUUAGCCCCCGGCAGAAUUGCAAAGCAGUUCUGGGUGGGGACAUCAGAUUUAGGAGGAAGCCCCUUGCUGUUAAUUAUCCUCUUCCUCCUUUUUUUGUUGUUUUUUUUAGUUACUAGCUCCCAGCUUCCUGGAUUAAUGCCCUCCUUCUUUCCUGUAUGAGCAAUGACGGACGCUCAUGGCCCCUGCAUGGUUUGGGCAUGCAGCAAGCAGCCCAGCGUCCUCUCAGCUUCCCUGGCAUCUUUUAGCUCACCAACAGCCUCCCGCAGCUCAGCCCCUGCUGCACGAGAACCUCCACGAGGGCACACCGAGCGCAGCCCUGUCCAUUGUGCACCCCCGCCUCAAGAGACCAGCCGAGGCACUUUCUACACUCCCAGGUCUGCGCCGCAGCCUCCCCUCUCAUCGGCUCUGUCUGGGUGCCUACGCUGGCCACCGCCGGGGCAGCCAGAGCAGAGCUCGCAGAGCGGACCCCGGUCCUGAGGAGCGCUCCCCACGCCGCCCGCUGCCCGCCCGCUGAGCCUGCGCCAACUGCCGCGCCACGCCCUGACUGACGUGCCACGCCCUGUUUGCCCGCCCUGUUCGCUGUGCUUCCUGGGGCGGGUUUUUACCCGCUGGGGGCUGGUGCCGUCACUCCUGGCACCGCCCCCUGUGAGUCAGCUGCUCGCGUGAGCUGAGCUGCCGGCUCCUGGGCAAGUCCCGUCGAGGACUUGAGGCUCCUCCGGUGGCGCUUGUCGCCCCGAACUGAGGCUCCUGGACGCUGUGCUUCCCCCCGCUCCGGUGUUAAAGGUGUUCUCUCUGGAGGUACUCACCUUCUUGCUAGGUAUCGUUGUAGAUAUCGAUGAUCUCCUGGAUCAUAGAACCAUCAUAGAAUCGUAGAAUGGUUUGGGUACGUAGGGACCUUAAACCUCAUCCACUUCCAACCCCCUGCCACGGGCAGGGACACUUUCCAUUAGACCGGGUUGCUUAAAGCCCCGUCCAGCCUGGCCUUGAACACUGCCAGGGAUUGGGAAUCACUUUGUUUACUCAUUUGUAUUUGAGCAUUGUUAAGAUAAAAACAUUUCUAGUAAAGUAAGAAAUUUCAGUACGCUUCAAAAGCACUGGACUCAUGCUCCUUCAUGACUUUUUUUAGGUGGAACCAGUUCUAGGACAUGCAUUGAAGCAAAGCUCCUGAACACCGCAGUGGCUCUUCUACGUCGUUUUCCUCACAGGGAAACCCCAGACGCGGGGUGGAGCACCGUCCACUUCGUCCUUCCGCUGCGACUCCCCUCGGCGAGGGAUUUAAACCGAGCAGAACAGUUCAGUAGCGCUGGAGCAGCGUUGUUGGGACGGGAUAAGU